rnacentral:rRNA from 1 species
UCGGCUUAGAGUUUGAUCAUGGCUCAGGACGAACGCUGGCGGCGUGCCUAAUACAUGCAAGUCGAGCGGAGGAGAAGCUUGCUUCUCUUAGCGGCGGACGGGUGAGUAACACGUAGGUAACCUGCCCAUAAGACUGGGAUAACAUUCGGAAACGAAUGCUAAUACCGGAUACGCGGUUGUCGCAUGACGAAUCGGGAAAGACGGUAAUGUCACUUAUGGAUGGACCUGCGGCGCAUUAGCUAGUUGGUGAGGUAACGGCUCACCAAGGCGACGAUGCGUAGCCGACCUGAGAGGGUGAUCGGCCACACUGGGACUGAGACACGGCCCAGACUCCUACGGGAGGCAGCAGUAGGGAAUCUUCCGCAAUGGACGAAAGUCUGACGGAGCAACGCCGCGUGAGUGAUGAAGGUUUUCGGAUCGUAAAGCUCUGUUGCCAGGGAAGAACGCUUGUGAGGUAACUCACGAGGUGACGGUACCUGAGAAGAAAGCCCCGGCUAACUACGUGCCAGCAGCCGCGGUAAUACGUAGGGGGCAAGCGUUGUCCGGAAUUAUUGGGCGUAAAGCGCGCGCAGCGGUCAAUUAAGUCUGGUGUUAAAGGCUGAGGCUCAACCUCAGUUCGCACUGGAAACUGGUUGACUUGAGUACAGAAGAGGAAAGUGGAAUUCCACGUGUAGCGGUGAAAUGCGUAGAGAUGUGGAGGAACACCAGUGGCGAAGGCGACUUUCUGGGCUGUAACUG